GAAAAAUUGCUACUCGGAGCGUGGUUUUGUAAUAAUAAUUAAAGAAUCGCUGUAAUACAUAAAAARCAAUUACAGCUUCAAAAUAAAAGCACAUAUCUGGUCAGAAUUCAGGUUUUUGCUUUCCAAUGCAACCAUAUUUGAGGUCUUCAAAACAACAGGUGUUUCUCCCCUCAAAAUGCCCCCUUGUGAGUAACUGUCCUUUUUUGUUGUUGUUGUUUUUUGUCAUGUUAAUACACUGCCAAGCUGACUUCCAUCCAAACCUCCAAGUGCCAGCAGCACUGCAACUCCGAGAUGCAUAGAGCCGCCCUGAACCUGAUUACACAUGAUCAAAGUCACAUUUUUCAACAAUUUGAUUAUGUUUUAGAGCUUGAAUGAGAUCAACAUGCCGGCUGCUGCAGUGCUCCUCUGAAACAACUAAUUGAAAAGACUUUUUAAGCGUUUGCUCGGUUUGAUGCAGCAAUUGCCGUUUCCCUCAGGUUGACCUCCAUCRCUGGAGUGGGACUACUGUAUUUAAUUACCUACAGUGAAUUCGAUUAUCAGGAAAUAUGGUGCAUAUCAAGUGAAUCCCUGCCUUAAGAUACGUAUUAGUUUUCCUGUAGAAAGUUGGAAAACACGUAAACUUGAGUCAAGACAAAAGGCAGCGGCUAAUGAGACUGGUUAGUGAUUCAAAUUUAUGGAAAUUUCAUUAAUUACACAAACCUAUCUUUCAUCUGUACCAUUUGGUGGUGGAGUAAUUAAAAGCAACAAUGGCGGUCCCCGCAGCGGAGGAACCAAACAAGAUCAAAGAAAACGGAGCGGUGAGGAGUAAGUCCUGUGGAUCCUGAACCAGGCCUGGCCGUGGGCAACAUGGCCCUCAUUAAAGCCACGCCGUGUUGAUCAUCAAUUAACCUGCUUUGUUUUGCUUCUGAUUUAAAACUUGAACAACAACACUUCUCUGCCGGUUGGAAAGUUUACGCCGGAGGUGAUAAAGGUUCAUCAGAAGUGUUGAGUUUGGGGCUUGGAGGGACGACGUGUUAAUCAGCAAAAGGAAGGUUGACCUACAUCUCUUUUUAUCGGCUGCAGAGAGGACCUCCACUGUGGAUGAAAUUUAGCCACAGCCUCUGACCUUUUGGGUUCAGCGUUUGUCUCCAGUCCAGUGACCACAAACAACUCCUGGAUUGCUGUAAAUGUCAGUGCAGCGGUGUCCCCGCCCCGUCCCCUGUGAACCACAGAGCUGCACUCAACCCGCACUAACAGGACAAUUUCAUGAGGGCUCCAUUAUCAGUUUAUACGCUGGGUUUGAUAACUCACAUUUCCUUCUCAUGAAGUCUCCAGAACCUGAGCAGCUCAGACAGCCAAACUGUUUCUGCUYCACUUUCUCAAACUUCCCUUUUUAUGCUUCCUUCAUGAUCAUGCCGUUCUACCAUCUGUAACAGAAUAAAACAUUUCAAUUUAACAAGAGACACAAAAAGAUUUUGGCUGUGAAGCCUUAAAAACAAUUUGACCCAUUUAGCACACAAAAGAGCUUGCACCAUCGAUCAUAAACGUCGGAUAUAAUAGAUUUAUGUUCUGAAGACACUGGUUGUAAUGCAUCCCAUUUUGAAGCACUUUGGCUUGCCCUUCCCCCCAGCCAUAAACACACACGCACACACUCUCUCUUUUUUUUUUUUCUCCUCCCCGGGCCUCCUGAGGUUGGUGUCUCUGCGUUAGGACUCCAUUGUUGCCUACUGCUGGAUAAUGCCCUUAUUAAUUGUACCUCUUUGUAAGGUGUCAGCUGUAGCCUCAGAUUGAGAUGGAUGGAUCUCUGGAGUCUGCUCCCUGGCCCUCCACAGACUCUCUAUCUCUGCUCAGCACACAGACGCAACAGUGAGCGCUGCCACAUAUGACUAAAAGCUGAGAUAAAACAGCCAUUUUAAUUAUUACACACACAAAAUAGAAAAUGUGUCUAAAAACAAAAUAAAACUCUACUUAUAUUAUUUGUAUGACGAACUGUUUGCAAAUGUUUACCUUUUCUAAGUGAAAUAUCCAUAGCAAUGAUGGAAUAUAUUAUUUUUAAAAAAUAUUAAUAUUGAUCAUUUCACUGUGUUUGCAGCUCUGCUGGUUAAUUAGGUGGAUUGAAGCCUUUGUGAAUUCAACUGCAUUAACAUCAAAUCCUCUCCCUCUCAUUAAAGGAAACAGAGUCAGUUUAAUUAAUUCAUAUUAAUCCCCACUGAUGCUCAUUUCAGCUUUAAUAAAAGUGUGACUGUCUGUGCUCAUCCGUUAUUUUUUUAAAAUCUAAAGGUUUGAUCACUUCUAGCAUGAAAAACGAUCAGAGUUUGAAGAAUUUUACAAGUAUUUUACUAAUCAUCUGUGGAUUUAUUAACUCAAAUCUAGAUGAGGUAAGAACUGUGUCAAAUAAUGUGGAUUAUCAACAAUUCUUCUGAUGCAAACUGGUUUCAGUGUGAGAUAUGUAUAAUAAUACUAUGUAAAUUGCAUUUAUGAUUGAAGUUAUCUACAUUUUGCCUUCAAAAUGUGUGUUUUUAUUAAUAUUUAAAGAAAUAAAAACCAGAUGUCAUGAA